rnacentral:rRNA from 1 species
GCAGUCGUGCGAGAAGGGCUUCGGCCCCGGUAAAGCGGCGCACGGGUGAGUAACACGUAGGUAACCUACCCUCUGGUGGUGGAUAACCUUCCGAAAGGAGGGCUAAUACAGCAUAAGACCACGGCCUCGCAAGAGGCAGGGGUAAAAGCGGGCCUCUGCAUGCAAGCUCGCACCAGGGGAUGGGCCUGCGGCCCAUCAGCUAGUUGGUGAGGUAAUGGCUCACCAAGGCAAAGACGGGUAGCUGGUCUGAGAGGAUGAUCAGCCACACUGGAACUGAGACACGGUCCAGACUCCUACGGGAGGCAGCAGUGGGGAAUCUUGCGCAAUGGGCGAAAGCCUGACGCAGCGACGCCGCGUGAGUGAUGAAGGCCUUCGGGUUGUAAAGCUCUGUGGAGGGGGACGAAUAAGUGUCGUCGAAUAGACGGCAUGAUGACGGUACCCCUUUAGCAAGCACCGGCUAACUCUGUGCCAGCAGCCGCGGUAAGACAGAGGGUGCAAACGUUGUUCGGAAUUACUGGGCGUAAAGCGCGUGUAGGCUGCUCGGAAAGUCGGAUGUGAAAGCCCUGGGCUCAACCUAGGAAGUGCAUUCGAAACUUCCGAGCUCGAGUUUCGGAGAGGAAGGCGGAAUUCUCGGUGUAGAGGUGAAAUUCGUAGAUAUCGAGAGGAACACCGGUGGCGAAGG